rnacentral:miRNA from 1 species
GAGGACUCCAUCGCCUGGACUGG